UUUCUUGCAAUAGGUGCCAAGGUGUUGGCAGAGAUGGGGGCUCCAAGCUGAAAGAAGUUUCCCUAGAGGAACAGGUCACCAAAACGCACUCACAACCUCCACUACCCUCCAGCAAAGUCUUUAGCCACCCAAGUGUGAGAUGAGCCCGGAAAGGGGUAUCGGGUCCCCUAGAAGGCGCCUACUCCACCUCCAUGAAGAAACACGGGCAAUGUUUACCUCCGUAAGGCAGCGUCUUCCUUGGUUCAUUUGUUCAUUCGACAACUGUUUACUGAAUACCUACCAGGUCCCGGACAUUGUACUAUGUGCUGGGGACAGACACAAAUGGCAUGCUCUACUUCCUUCUCUUCAAUCUUCAAAGACACCUGGAGGAAGAGAAAAGGACUUUUCAUGGUGGAGAACUAACAAAAGCCAAGUUUUUAUUACAUAAACUUCUACCACGUUGAACUUUUGUCCCAAGAGGCAAGCAAGUUAAACACUGCUUUGUCAAUGGUCUGCAGAAAAUACCUCAUUCAUACCAAGUCCCAUCCUCCCAGAUCUUCAAUGCUACCUACCAAAAAAAAAACCAGUUUACCUAACUGUGGUCAUAUUUAAAUCUUUACUUUAGCAAAAAAGGAUAAGCUCCAAAACAGGACAAUUAAAAGCAUUAUCACAAAGAAGAGGUUAGGGGCAGCCCAGGUGGCUCAGCAGUUUAGUGCCUGCCUUCGGCCGGGGUGGUGAUCCUGGAGACCCAGAAUCGAGUCCCAUGUCCCAUGAAGACUCCCUACAUGGGGCCUGCUUCUCCUGCUUGUGUCUCUGCCUUUUUCUCUGCAUC